AUGGAGAAGGAAAUGGGAGAAGGUUAACGGGCAAGCAUGAAACAACCAACAUUGACACAUUUUCUUGGGUAAUGCUCAGAAGAAGCGUACCAAAUCCUACUCAAAUUCUAAGAUUGCCCAUUCAAUUGAAUCUUGGGAUGCCAGAAUUACUUGAAAUCAAUUAUGCAGGUAGUUGCCAAUCAUGGCUGCUCAUUCCGUGUGGGUUGUGACACUAAGAGGCAAGGAAAAGGUUACUUGGAAGAUAGGCGUCCUGCCUCAAACAUGAACCCAUAUGUUGUGACCUUGUUACAUGCAGAAACAACAAUUUUAUGAGAGCCCACCCUUGAAGUUGAAGCUCUUGCUGCUCCUAAGUUUGCAUUGAAGGUCUAAAAUUCAAGUUGCUGGUUAAGAAAGGCCCAAUGCAUUAAAUCAAAUCAGGGAGGACCCACAAGAUGAGAGACUGUGAACCUCUUUUUCUCCACAUUUAGGUCAUUGAGAGAAGAUCCUCAUGUAAGUAAAGCUUCCGACGGAGAGAAAAUUAGGCGUCCAGGCUUAGACCUGGUCUUCUGCACAUUGUUUUCAUACUACAUUCGUGAGUAGUCUCAAUGUUUUGGUAUUUGAGUUCAACAUUACCCUUUAGCGUCAUGGACAUCUUGCUUUGUUUGAAUUGUCAGUUUGAAUUGGUAUUUUUGCUAAUCUUCGUGUCUUGAAACUUAGGGAAGUGCUUUAUAAACAUAUGUAUAAAAUGAAGACAUUUCAAUGCAAGUCGUCCAAAUUUUCA